CUGUAUAAACAGUUAGUAUCCUAUCCCAAAAUCAUUAACUACUUUUAAAAGUACUGUGCAAAAACAAUUGGACGAGAUAAUUGGAUGUGCAGCAGCUUCCUUUUUGGCCCUUUUUUCUUCAACUUUUAUUUUCUGUACUUUGUGUUUAAUGUGGAUGAGAUAAUUGUAGCCAUGUGAGUUGAAGUUGAAGACUCUUGAAAUUUUGUAUAAUUUGUUUUUCUGCUUUUUUAGGAUCCAGCCAUUGCUUUCACCUUUCUUUCUUCCUCCUUGACUAACUCAUUUUUGUGUUUUGUUUUUCCUUUUUUAUUUUUUAUUUUCUGGUAGUGAGAAAUUAUGGUUUAUUAAGGCCUCGUGGAUAGCAUAGGAGGAUCAUGGUCCAGCUUCCAAGCUUGCACCUUUGGCCCCUUUCAAGUUUCAACCAAAUUCCUCUAAAUCCCAAAGGAACCUCUUUUGACAUUUCUUUCUCAGGCCCAGUUUUUUACUUACGUUUCUAUCACACCCUUCACCCUUUCUAUGCUUCAAGUCUUGAACCAUCCACCUGUUUUAUCAUUAUUUCCAGAAGGACCCAAAAUUUAGGGUUUUCAUCACACCCCGCACCUGUCUUCUGAUAAGAACAUCACUUCAGGUUUUAGCUUUGCAACGGGAGAGUAACUCAAUAGAUGUUAGACAACAGAGAACUGCAUUUCCUCCAAAUUUUGUACACUCACUUGACGGGUUCACACAUGAUGAUGAUGAUAGCUCUUGCCUGCAGGGACGCUGGCCUACGUUUUGCAGAAGAUAUUGGAACCUACACCCUGCUGAAGUGCUCUGUACUUAGAGGAUUAGAGGGCAUAGAUUCAUCAAAACAAAGUCUCUUUUGAAGGGUGCAUGAUUCCUUCUGGACUCAUGCAUGUGAUGUGGACCAAAUGAACGAGAUACUUAGGCAAAAAUUUGGCCAAUACUUGAAAAUCUAUGCCUCUUCCCCGUUGCUUGAAAGUUUCCAAGCAUCAUAUCCAGCGUUGACUUUUCCUCCACUCCCAGAAAGAGGCGACUUUGACUUGCAAUAGGUUCUGGAAUCUCCAUACUUUUUCGACUGAAUUUCCAGUCAUGAGCAGCAAUGAUAACCAUAUGCGGAAAGCUUUGUCACUUGUAUCAUAUGCACCCCAAAAUUGACCAAGAAGCUUUGUUAAGAGUUCAUUUGGAUAGGGGCAGCAAGUUGAACUGGAAACUGAAGCCUAGAAGGUUCCUUUCGUGAACAGUGAAAGGACAAAUUUGAUUCCCAUGGUUAGCAAGUCUGUGAUUCUGAUAGGGUGGUGAUCAUCUUCAGUGUUAAUGAUCUGGCUCUAUUUAGAAGCGACCCAUGUACAGUAAAGGAGACGCUUCUAUUGAAUUUCAAAGAUGUUUAGAAGUUCUCUAAUGUGGAACAAUUUUUUGGGAGGCAAGAGAGGCAGACAGAAGGCGGCAAGGCCGUUGGAGCUAAUUUUGUGGAGAUCAUCUAAAUGGUGCAAAAAUCAUGUAUUGUUUCUUUUCUAAUAUAUUUGAUUUUUUAAA